CUUUGCUUGUGCAACAACUAUCACCUGGCAAACCUUUUCAUUUGUGCGUCAAGGCUUAUGUCUUGUUGCAUUGUGGGUUUCCUGUGUUGCCUACCAAAGUGAUGGUAUUUUGAGGAUUGAAUCAAGUCCCUUUCGUCUUUUGGUACACUUGUCGUACGAGAUGAACCGUUUGAAGCUGUUUUUAUGAUCCACAUCAUUGACCUGCAUGUGUCAAUGAUGUGGCCCAUUAAGCACUGCUUGGUCUUGAGAAUAUGGAAGCUAAUAUGAGCAUGGGUUCUUCAUUGGAGCCUUGUUCUACCCUUGUUUAGCGUUAACGCAUCUUGAAAUGACUACUCAUCAUGUAGUGUCUCGUACCAGCAUGGUGGGUUUGUCUUAGAGGAAUGCUACCUGGUUGAUCCUGCCAGUAGUCAUAUGCU
rnacentral:misc_RNA from 1 species